AACAGCCAGAGACAGAAAGCAGAACUUGAAAGAUUUGCCUAGGCAAAAACAGAAAAUUACCUGACUCAGCGAAAGGGGGUGUCGUGGUGGAUUUCAGGGAUCCAGGAUGAGCCCCCAAAUGUUGUGCCCAAGUUCUGAACCCCCAAAUCACCAAGAGGCCCAUUUCGAUGCAAAAGCAAAGAGUCUUUUAUUGUAGAUGUUUAAGGAGCAAACCCCACUGGCUCAGGCCCUUCACCCCACCACCAUGGCGAAUGGCUGGAGAAAGACCCCAAGCUCUGGAUGAACAACAUCGUGCAAAUGGAGUAAAAGUACGACAAGAACUCCUGGACUGCUGAGGCCCCUCCCACAGGAGAGCUGCUGUCUGGCUCCAUCCAGAAGACGCACCAGGGCUCCAUUCCUGUGCAGAAGGUCCUGGAAAGAGCCCAUCUCCGCGAUGGUCCCGUUGGCCAGCACCAGGAUCCAGUCAGCCUGGGGCAGGACGUGCAGUGCGUGUGUCACAAGGAUCCGAGUCUGGGCAGGGCAGGGGCAGAAGUUACAUGUGCUGGAGUGUCCCAGGUCAGAAAGGGGAACGGGUGCACCUGCCCUGGCUCUGGAGAAUACCAUAUCCAAAGAGAAGAGGGGGUGUCUCAAAUUGGGAAGAUGUGGGCUUAGGGUAACCCUUUGAGAGAGUCUCAUUCUGAUGGGGUUGUGGGGUGAUCUGAGAAACUCACCUUAAGAUCAAAAAAGAACAAGUGGAAAUACGGUAAAAA